rfam:Schistosoma margrebowiei strain Zambia genome assembly, scaffold: SMRZ_contig0004942
AUCCGGCCGACGAGUCCAAGAUAGGACGAAACGUGUGUCCUGAAU